CCAUAGUAAUUGCAGUGCUAAUUCGUAAUGGGGCCAGCUGGGUUUGAGAGAUUUGUGAGCUGAGAGCACGGGUCGGGAAUUACUGUUUGCAAAUCCCCACAAUGGCUUAUGAGAAUAGAAGGUUAGUGGGUGUGCUCCAAUCCCAGUCUUCACCAAGGAACUCAACAGCAGAUGAGAAUAGAUUAGUGGGUGUGCUCCAAUCCCAAUCUACACCAAGGAACUCAACAGCAGAUGUUGGCAAGCUAUUGGCCCUUGCCAAGAUGAAGGUCAACACGGGCACCUGUUAAGAAGGGGCUGCUGUAGAAGGCAGGAAGAAAUAAAUAGUCAUGGAAAUAACUGCUCAGGAGAGAGCUGUACCAGGGGAGACCUCAGCAAGAAGAACUGCUCAGGAGAGAGCUGUACCAAGGAAGACCUCAGCAAGAACAACUGCUCAGGAGAGAGCUGUACCAGGAGAGACCUCAGCAAGAAGAACUGCUCAGGAGAGCGCUGUACCAGGGGAGACCGCGGAGCAGCAAGUAUUUUUCUCUCCCUCACUUGUUUGGAUUAAGAAUGAUGCCUUAGUGCCGGUGUCGUAGGGAAUUAGUAGACCGGGGGAAAAAGUGGAUUGCGCAAGCGCAGUAAGACAAAAGGAAGGCGCAGCAGCAGUUUGUUUAAAGGGGAGGUUAACUACAUGAAUCAUGUUCUAUCUGGUCAUUUUAUUUGCCAGAUCGUAUGGUAAUGUGUUCACACACAACUUUCUUUUUUAUUUAUUUAUUUUCGGUCUGUAAAAUAUAUGUGCGAUGCAAAGAGUUCAGUUAUACUGUAACUUACGUCUCUCUUUAUACUAGGUUAAAUGCUUGUCAGCUUUUUUUCUGCCUCUAAAAAUGUCAUUGUUAAUCAUAUGUAGUUGA